UACGUAGGGUGCAAGCGUUGUCCGGAAUUAUUGGGCGUAAAGAGCUCGUCGGCGGUCUGUUGCGUCGGCUGUGAAAACCCGGGGCUCAACUCCGGGCCUGCAGCCGAUACGGGCAGACUAGAGUUCGGCAGGGGAGACUGGAAUUCCUGGUGUAGCGGUGAAAUGCGCAGAUAUCAGGAGGAACACCGGUGGCGAAGGCGGGUCUCUGGGCCGAUACUGACGCUGAGGAGCGAAAGCGUGGGGAGCGAACAGG
rnacentral:rRNA from 1 species